AUUGAACGCUGGCGGCAUGCUUUACACAUGCAAGUCGAACGGCAGCGCGGACUUCGGUCUGGCGGCGAGUGGCGCACGGGUGAGUGAUGCAUCGGAACGUGCCUAUUAGUGGGGGAUAACGCUUCGAAAGGAGUGCUAAUACCGCAUACGACCUGAGGGUGCAAGUGGGGGACCGUAAGGCCUCACGCUAAUAGAUCGGCCGAUGUCUGAUUAGCUAGUUGGUGAGGUAAAGGCUCACCAAGGCGACGAUCAGUAGCGGGUCUUAGAGGACGAUCCGCCACACUGGGACUGAGACACGGCCCAGACUCCUACGGGAGGCAGCAGUGGGGAAUCUUGGACAAUGGGCGCAAGCUUGAUCCAGCAAUGCCGCGUGGGUGAAGAAGGCCUUCGGGUUGUAAAGCCCUUUUGUUUGGGAGCAAAUCCUACUGGUUAAUACCUGGUGGGGAUGAGAGUACCAAAAGAAUAAGCACCGGCUAACUACGUGCCAGCCGCCGCGGUAAUAC
rnacentral:rRNA from 1 species